UAAUACGUAGGCAGCAAACGUUGUUCGGAAUUACUGGGCGUAAAGAGUGUGUAGGCGGCUUUGUUAGUCUGGUGUGAAAUCUCCCGGCUUAACUGGGAGGGUGCGCUAGAAACUGCAGAGCUAGAGUAUCGGAGAGGAAAGCGGAAUUCCUGGUGUAGCGGUGAAAUGCGUAGAUAUCAGGAGGAACACCGGUGGUGUAGACGGCUUUCUGGACGAUCACUGACGCUGAGACACGAAAGCGUGGGGAGCAAACAGGAUUAGAUACCCUGGUAGUCCACGCCCUAAACGAUGCAUACUUGGUGUGAGUCCUUCAUUGGAUUCGUGCCGGAGCUAACGCGUUAAGUAUGCCGCCUGGGGAGUACGGUCGCAAGGCUG
rnacentral:rRNA from 1 species